AUAACCUGACUUUUGUGACUUUGUGGGCUCAAAAGAGAGAGGUCCAAGUCCAAGAUUUUUCUGUUAUAUUUUUUUUUUUAUUUAUUUAUUUAUUUUAUUUAUUUAUUUAUUUUUCGUUUUUCAUUUUUUCAUUUUUUUUUUCAAAAUGCGUGGGCUUCGCCUAGCGAGCAUGACAGUUCAAGAAAUUCCUCUGGGCGUAGGUGAU
rnacentral:lncRNA from 1 species